ACUCCCAGUGUGUCCAGCGACAGUUUGUACACAGGCAAGCAAGUCCCGUGUGCAUUCUCCGUACUGAGCCCCAGUUGUGCACCUGUGCACAGAGACCGUGCGGGUGGGUGUGCAUCCUUCCCCUGACCUGGGUGUGCUUCCUCUAGAGGGCUGGAGCCUGAAGCUUUUAUCUGAAGGACUGAUCUUGGACUACCAGAUUCUGCUUUGUCUGUACAUGCAGAGUCAGAAGUAGCUGGGAAUUCAGAUCUCCCAGGGCAGCCCUCAGCCAACCACUAGCAGUGGGGGUAAGGAAAGCCCUGCUGCCACAAGCUCACCCUGCAGAGUCCCCUACAGGGUCAGGCUUAGCUCCCUCCUGAAGCUUCAGCUGAGACCACGACCUGCUAGGCAUCCUCCCCUCCCCAGAGAGGCUGGCGGAGAGGCGUAUGCAAGGGAGCGGAGGCUGGGACCGGCCCGGCUUCUUCCCCGGGCCCGCUAGGGGGCGCGCGCCCUCUCCGCGGAGUUCUCUGCUGCUGGGAAGGCGAGCCGGCCCCCGGGACUUCAGAGCCGGAGCCAGGCACUUAGCUUCCUUCUGGGGACCCUGAGGCACGGGAAGAGAAGGGACCUCCUGCUCGCAGUGUCCCCCUUGCGCUGUCCCUGCUAGUGACAGGAAGCUCUUCUCACCCUGUUCGUGGGCCCGGCUGUGUCUCCUCCUCGCCUUCACCUGCCGUUGUGACCUGCAGUGCCCUCCCCAGCUUGAUCCCUACCUGGAACCCCUCGGUGUCCUGUCCCAGGCCACGCUGAAGGUGGGCGGUGCGUGCUGCGGGUGACUGGCUGAAUGAAUGAAUGAGCCAACACAGGAAUGCCCGUGGACACCACCAGGGGUCUUUCUGCGAAAGUGCGGUGACACCAGGGGUCCUCCUGCGGCCCCGGGAGGGCCCAGACUCGGCCUGAGGGGCUCAGCACCGGCUCCUCCCAUUCCCUUCCUUCCUCCUGACUUGCUGUGGUUCUUUAAGUUUGGUAAUUAAUGUCAUUCUAAGUAAAGGAAAAACAAGCAGUCGAGUCAUUCGCAUGAAUUGUUGGGCUCAUCAUUUUACGGUGCGAUGCCGUCUUAGGCGCAGAGCGUCUCACUUGUGCACUAACGCGCCACAAUGGCACAUGGGUAGUGCACAGUUCGUACAGGCACGUGUAUUUCGAUCUUACAGGACAAUGGAAAGGCUGCACAAAUCUAAACCCACUGUCACCUCUGGGGCUCGUGCAUUCUGCCAACACCCCAUAGGAACCCGGAUCUCAGACGUCCCAGGUACGUCAGCCCCACCAGAAUUCUGUGCUCAUAGGACACGGUGAACGCUGAAUGUGGACAGGGCGGCAAGGACCCGGACACUUGGAUUACACAGGUCUCCUCUGCUCACACACCCUGACGCUGUCCCAUUGAACUUCACUUACAAAACACGAGUUUAAAGAUAAAAUCAUCUGUUUCACGAUAUGGCUAUGUUAAAAAAGAUAAAUUAUUGAUAAUUCCAUGGUGGUGACAGCAGAACAUUAAACCAACGUGGG
rnacentral:lncRNA from 1 species